rnacentral:rRNA from 1 species
AACGAACGCUGGCGGCACGCCUAACACAUGCAAGUCGAGCGCUUCCCUUCGGGGAGGAGCGGCGGACGGGUUAGUAACGCGUGGGAACAUACCCUUUUCUACGGAAUAGCCUCGGGAAACUGAGAGUAAUACCGUAUACGCCCUUCGGGGGAAAGAUUUAUCGGUUAAGGAUUGGCCCGCGUUAGAUUAGAUAGUUGGUGGGGUAAUGGCCUACCAAGUCUACGAUCUAUAGCUGGUUUGAGAGGAUGAUCAGCAACACUGGGACUGAGACACGGCCCAGACUCCUACGGGAGGCAGCAGUGGGGAAUCUUAGACAAUGGGCGCAAGCCUGAUCUAGCGAUGCCGCGUGAGUGACGAAGGCCUUAGGGUCGUAAAGCUCUUUCACCAGGGAUGAUAAUGACAGUACCUGGAAAAGAAACCCCGGCUAACUCCG